UACGGAGGGUGCAAGCGUUAAUCGGAAUUACUGGGCGUAAAGCGCACGCAGGCGGUCUGUCAAGUCGGAUAUGAAAUCCCCGGGCUCAACCUGGGAACUGCAUCCGAAACUGGCAGGCUAGAGUCUUGUAGAGGGGGGUAGAAUUCCAGGUGUAGCGGUGAAAUGCGUAGAGAUCUGGAGGAAAACCGGUGGCGAAGGCGGCCCCCUGGACAAAGACUGACGCUCAGGUGCGAAAGCGUGGGGAGCAAACAGGAUUAGAUACCCUGGUAGUCCACGCCGUAAACGAUGUCGACUUGGAGGUUGUGCCCUUGAGGUGUGGCUUCCGGAGCUAACGCGUUAAGUCGACCGCCUGGGGAGUACGGCCGCAAGGUUAAA
rnacentral:rRNA from 1 species